UCCAAAGACAGCAUGGAAACAGUGAGCAGC
rnacentral:piRNA from 1 species